rnacentral:rRNA from 1 species
UGGGGAAUCUUGCACAAUGGGGGAAACCCUGAUGCAGCGACGCCGCGUGAGCGAUGAAGCCCUUCGGGGUGUAAAGCUCUUUCGGCAGGGAAGAUAAUGACGGUACCUGCAGAAGCAGCUGCGGCUAACUACGUGCCAGCAGCCGCGGUAAUACGUAGGCAGCGAGCGUUGUUCGGAGUUACUGGGCGUAAAGGGUGUGUAGGCGGUUGUUUAAGUUUGGUGUGAAAUCUCCCGGCUCAACUGGGAGGGUGCGCCGAAUACUGAAUGACUUCGAGUGCGGGAGAGGAGAGUGGAAUUCCUGGUGUAGCGGUGAAAUGCGUAGAUAUCAGGAGGAACACCGGUGGUGUAGACGGCUCUCUGGACCGUAACUGACGCUGAGACACGAAAGCGUGGGUAGCAAACA